GAGAUUCCCCCAGUAGCGGCGAGCGAACGGGGAGCAGCCCAGAGCCUGAAUCAGUGUGUGUGUUAGUGGAAGCGUCUGGAAAGGCGUGCGAUACAGGGUGACAGCCCCGUACACAAAAAUGCACAUAUUGUGAGCUCGAUGAGUAGGGCGGGACACGUGGUAUCCUGUCUGAAUAUGGGGGGACCAUCCUCCAAGGCUAAAUACUCCUGACUGACCGAUAGUGAACCAGUACCGUGAGGGAAAGGCGAAAAGAA
rnacentral:rRNA from 1 species